rnacentral:rRNA from 1 species
AACGAACGCUGGCGGCAGGCUUAACACAUGCAAGUCGAACGGAUGUAGCAAUACAUUAGUGGCGCACGGGUGAGUAACGCGUGGGAACGUGCCCUUAGGUACGGAACAACAUCGGGAAACUGAUGCUAAUACCGUAUAAUAUCUUCGGAUCAAAGAUUUAUCGCCUAAGGAUCGGCCCGCGUUGGAUUAGGUAGUUGGCGAGGUAAUGGCUCACCAAGCCGACGAUCCAUAGCUGGUCUGAGAGGAUGAUCAGCCACACUGGGACUGAGACACGGCCCAGACUCCUACGGGAGGCAGCAGUGAGGAAUAUUGGACAAUGGAGGAAACUCUGAUCCAGCCAUGCCGCGUGAGUGAAGAAGGUCUUCGGAUUGUAAAGCUCUUUUACCCCUGACGAUAAUGACGGUAAGGGGAGAAAAAGCCACGGCUAACUUCGUGCCAGCCGCCGCCGUAA